rnacentral:rRNA from 1 species
AAAUCGGAUCAGGGUUAGUCUGGUCCUUAGGCAAACCCGAAAGGGGUAGUUGAUGGAAAGAAGGUUAAUAUUCCUUUACCUGCUAUGCAUUAAAAGUGACGGAGGGCCGUGGUUGUUGCGUACUUACGGAAUAGUACGCUGAGUGGAGCCUUCGGGCAAAGCGAAACAAUAAAAGCCCUUCCAAGAAAAGCGAGCAUAGCAGCCAGUACCGUAAACCGACACAGGUAGAUGGGAUGAGUAUUCUAAGGCGCUCGGGUGAGCCGCGGAGAAGGAACUAGGCAAAUUAACGCUGUAACUUCGGGAUAAAGCGUACCGUAGCGAUACGGUCACAGUAAAAUGGUACAACCAACUGUUUAACAAAAACACAGGGCCCUGCAAAAUCGUAAGAUGACGUAUAGAGCCUGAUACCUGCCCGGUGCUGGAAGGUUAAGGAAGGAUGUUCGGAGCAAUCCAAAGCUUCUGACUGAAGCCCCAGUAAACGGCGGCCGUAACUAUAACGGUCCUAAGGUAGCGAAAUUCCUUGUCGGGUAAGUUCCGACCUGCACGAAUGGUCUAAUGAGUUGUACACUGUCUCCUCCGCGAGCCCGGUGAAAUUGUAGUAUCGGUGAAGAUGCCGGUUACCCGCCACGGGACGAAAAGACCCCGUGAACCUUCACUACAACUUUGCAUUGAUUUUGAGCAACAAAUGUGUAGGAUAGUUGGGAGACUAUGAAGCAGUGUCGCCAGGCAUUGUGGAGUCAACGUUGAAAUACCAACCUUUUGUUGCUUAGAACCUAACCCUGAACAAGGGGACAUUGCAUGGUGGGUAGUUUGACUGGGGUGGUCGCCUCCUAAAAAGUAACGGAGGCUUACAAAGGUACCCUCAGUACGGUUGGUAACCGUACGCAGAGCGCAUUAGUAUAAGGGUGCUUGACUGUGAGACAAACGCGUCGAGCAGGUGCGAAAGCAGGUUAAAGUGAUCCGGUGAUUCUGCAUGGAAGGGUCAUCGCUCAAAGGAUAAAAGGUACUCCCGGGAUAACAGGCUGAUCUUACCCAAGAGCUCAUAUCGACGGUAAGGUUUGGCACCUCGAUGUCGGUUCGUCACAUCCUGGGGCUGGAGAAGGUCCCAAGGGUUCGGCUGUUCGCCGAUUAAAGUGGCACGUGAACUGGGUUCAGAACGUCGCAAGACAGUUCGGUCUCUAUCUGUGGUGGGCGUUAGUAAAUUGAGUGGACAUGUCCUUAGUACGAGAGGACCGGGAUGUACGUACCGCUGGUGUAUCUGUUAUGCCGCCAGGUGUAAUGCAGAGUAGCUAUGUACGGCAAGGAUAAACGCUGAAAGCAUCUAAGCGUGAAACCUUCCACAAGAUGAGUUUACUUUUAAGGGCCGUCAAAGACUAUGACGUUGAUAGGCUAUAGGUGUAAAGUUGGUAACAACAAAGCCAAGUAGUACUAAUUACCCGUAAGCUUUAUCAA